GAUGAAGAACGUAGCAAAAUGCGAUAAGUAAUGUGAAUUGUAGAAUUCAGUGAAUCAUCGAAUCUUUGAACGCACAUUGCGCCCGCCAGUACUCUGGCGGGCAUGCCUGUCCGAGCGUCAUUUCAACCCUCAGGGCCCUCCAGCAGGGCGCUGGUGUUGGGGAUCGGCAGUCCCAGCGGCUGCCGUCCCUGAAAUGUAGUGGCGGUCCCACCGUGACCUCCCCUGUGCAGUACAUCGCUCGCAGAGGGACAGCGGUGCGGCCACGCCGUAAAACGCCCAACGCUUCAAGGUUGACCUCGGAUCAGGUAGGACUACCCGCUGAACUUAAGCAUAUCAAUAAGCGGAGGA
rnacentral:misc_RNA from 1 species